rnacentral:rRNA from 1 species
GUAGGUGGCAAGCGUUGUCCGGAAUUAUUGGGCGUAAAGCGCGCGCAGGCGGUUCUUUAAGUCUGAUGUGAAAGCCCACGGCUCAACCGUGGAGGGUCAUUGGAAACUGGAGAACUUGAGUACAGAAGAGGAAAGCGGAAUUCCGCGUGUAGCGGUGAAAUGCGUAGAGAUGUGGAGGAACACCAGUGGCGAAGGCGGCUUUCUGGUCUGUAACUGACGCUGAGGCGCGAAAGCGUGGGGAGCAAACAGAAUUAGAUACCCUGGUAGUCCACGCCGUAAACGAUGAGUGCUAAGUGUUAGGGGGGUUUCCGCCCCCCUUAGUGCUGCAGCUAACGCAUUAAGCACUCCGCCUGGGAGUACGGCCGCAAGGCUG